GAUCAAGGCUUUUGUUUGGUAUGUAUUCAUAGAUAAGGAUCUUCUCUUGUCCCUCCAAGCAAAAUCCCAAUAGUCUCACUAAAUUUCUAUGUUGAAGCUUGGCCACAAGAGCAGCUUCAUUCCUGAACUCUACAGCACCCUGCAAGGAGGUUACUGACAACCUCUUCACAGCUAUCUCCUGUCCGUUAGGGAAGACACCCUAAAAACAAGCACAGGAAUAGAACAAUUUAACUACUUUAGCAUAAAAAGAAAUGUGUCACUCAGCAUUUAGUAUAAACAUGUUCCAUACCUUAUAAACCACCCCAAAUCCACCUUGGCCAAUCUUGUUCUCAUCUGAGAAUCUGUCUGUGGCAGCUUCAACUGUAGCCAAGUCGAACUGCAAGGACUCCACAUCGCCGACAUCGGUAAGAUCAUCCGCAACUACACAGCAAAGAAAGACAGUAAUUAUCGGCAACCAAUUUAAAGUCAAAGGAAGCAAAUUACCCGGAACAAUUGCUAGGACGGAGAAGGAGAGAUUACUUGAAUCCUGGACAAAAGUAUUAUACUUCUUGCUUGCCCUUUUACAUAGGAAGUAGACGCCAACAAUGAAUAGAAGAAUCACAAAAACAAUUGGGACAACAAUUGCCACAAUUAUAGAGAUACUGCUUUUCCCUGCACAUUUUCAUCACUUUCUAAGAGACCCCAGCAAACAGGUAAUCAGAAAUUAGAUGCAAAAAGUCGACACUACAUAAUAAGUGUGUGUUUGGAUGAGUGUUGACAAAAAUGAUUUUGAAUGAAAUUGAUUUUGAUGUAGUGUGAUUUAUGUUUGGAUGUUUUGAUAAUAGAAUCAAGUUAGGAGUUAGGAGUAAAAAAAAAAAAAAACUUCGUACCCCAUUACCCAGAAGCUCUUCGCUAUGCGAAGGUAUGGGGGAAGGAUGUUGUACGCAGCCUUACCCUUGCAUAUGCAAAGAGGCUGUUUCCGGAUUCGAACCCAUGACCAACAAGUCACCAAGGCACAACUUUACCGCUGCACUAGGGCUCGCCCUCAGGAGUUAGGAGUAAAAUCCAGUAUAAUUCUUCUGAUCCAAUGCAAAAGUUAUCCACACUUGCUUCAACUCAGAAUCAAUUCUGGACCUAGAAUCAAUUUUAUGUUUGGAUGUUUUGAUAAUAGAAUCAAGUUAGGAGUUAGGAGUAAAAUCCAGUAUAAUUCUUCUGAUCCAAUGCAAAAGUUAUCCACACUUGCUUCAACUCAGAAUCAAUUCUGGACCUAGAAUCAAUUUUAUGUUUGGAUGUUUUCAUAAUAGAAUCAAGUUAGGAGUUAGGAGUAGAAUCCAGUAUAAUUUAUCUGAUCCAAUGCAAAAGUUAUUCAUAGUUGUUUCAACUCAGAAUCAAUUAUGGACCUAGAAUCAAUGUUGAAAUCUUAUGCAACAUGAAACCAAACAUGUAAAAAUUGAUCUAAAAUCAAUUCAGGACACAAAAUCAAUUCUCUAUGGUGAAACCAAAUGCACACCAAGAAAAUCAUCUCAACGGUACAUCUUUUUACCUGGACAUACACAAAAUCUGUGUCUUAUUCUCCUAUUAGAAAUGUAGUUUUUAUCUUAAUAGCGUAUUGACUUCCAGUACAAACUUUUAUUAUGCCUAUUACCAAAGUAAAAUUCCAAUUCUUAUGUGAAAAUAACACGAAAAAGUAAAAAAAAAAAAACCUUGAUAAACUGUGUCUAAAUUUUGUUCAUGUUAUAAUGGUUUGAUACCUGAAGAUGGAGAGGGAAGGUGAGACACGGAGGAAACAUUGUAAAAGGGAUACAGUUCAUAUCUGACACUACAGCCAGGAAGCAGGACCCGUGCACCUCGUUUGCCGUCACAGCAGUUCGGAAAGCCACCGAUGGAGCUUGAGAAGCACGUGUUGCAGUCAGAAGUGGACAAAUCGGGCGUGCACUGCGCCAGGGUGUAGAGCUUCAUUGAGCUCGUGAAAUUCGCUUCUUUUGUAGCAAACUUCUUACCCGAAGAAGAAGAGUUCAAGGCCUCCUGCUUUAAAUCAUUUAACGUGGACGCAAGAACAUCGUUGAACCGCGCGUAGUCCGAGUCGGAGACGCUCUGUUCGUUCUUCAUGCCGACACUUGGGACUAUGUUGUCGAGGGUGGAACUGUUGGAGUAACGCAGCAUACACUCGUCGUACCAGAUUAUGGACUGUGUCUGGUUGGUGCAGAAGUUUGUGAUGUUUUUUGCUGCGGCGGUGACGCAGUCGAGACAGAGGGAGGGGGUGACGUCACCGCGGCAGAGGAAGAGUCCCUUGACCUCAUCGGAGGUUCCAAGGGAGACGUUUGUGCGGUAGAAACCGUGGUGGAGGGUGGCGUUGGAGACGAGGGAUGAGAGAAGGAUGUUGAGGUUGGUUUCGAAUGUUGUGUUGGGUCGGUAAUGGGAUCCUUCAUCCGAGCAGGCAUGUGCGCUGUAUGUAGGAGCUGCUUGACUUGCAGAUGUUAGCAAGUUGAAGAGAGAUAGAAGCAGCAAGUGGGUUGAAGAGGAUUUGGAUAUGCACAUCUCUCCCUCGUCUAAAAUACUAACAAUUGUUUAGCAGUUUUGGUUCUGGCGCUUUAUCUUCCAUCAUAUCGUGUUUAUUAUUCUGGUCAGUGAUGAUGACUUUUACGAGGAAAACAUGUUGUGCCCUGACAAGUCAAUCAGGACUCCUAUUUACAUGAAAAAGUGAAAAGUCAUGCAUUAGAUUUUUUAAAUAAAAUAACAUUUGUUUGAUGAAAAUAAAUGAAUAAUUUGAUAGAAAUCAAACGGUGGCUUUGUGUUACAGUUUUAUGAAGAAAAAAAAUUUAAAAAUGAAAAGUUUGACGGCAAUCACCUGAUAGGUGUUACAAGAAUUUGUAAAAUGAAGUAUUUUCCCUUAUUACAUUCUUAUCUCUGAUCUAAAAUUGUAUUUCUUUUGCAUUUUCUUCUACGAUCACUGUUAUUAAUGAUGCUUUGUUUUAUCUUGAAGAACGAAAUUGUCCCUUAUCCCUUCACAGCCACCACCCUUCACCGCCUUUACACCGUCCAUGCCACCAGAUCUCACCACCUCGCCACCAAAUCUAACUUCCACCACCCAGAUCUCACCGUGCUUAAGGACUGUCACAUGCAGUUGUCCCCCCCCCCCCCACCCCGACAUGACGCCCUGUAACGCCGUCACCAAGAUGCACCUCAACAUUAGCAAUGUCACCAGUCUGCAAGUGCAUGGUGUUGAGGACAUUGACGACGAAGCCUAAGUCUGCAACGGAGGUUGGGAACAAGGGUAUGUUGUUUCAUUUUGAAGAACAAUGUUUCAUUCCCAAUUUGUAGCCGCCAUGUUAAUUUUUAAAUUGAUUGAAUUGGCUUGUAAAUAAUUUUAGAAUUAGUCUGGCUGAAUUAAAUUAGUUAUUGUUCUCUUAAAAUUAUGUGUUGUUUUCAACCUUUUGUUAGCAGCAAUUUUUGUUUCCCACAAGGCUCCAUGACUCCACGCAACCGAGCUUUUAGACAAUGGCAAUUUGGUCUGUGUAUUUCUUUAAACACACACGUGCAAGGCACAUGAGAAUCUGUUACGAUGUAGGAGUGCAUAUGUAAUGAAAUUGCAAAAAUUGGGAGAUAUUUGUGUAGGGGUCCAAUAAUGAGGAGGACACGAAUGUAAUAAGUAUAAAAUACAGAAAAGAUGAGUGUAAUUUGCUUACCUUUUUUUUUUCUUGUUUAUCUCCCUUUUACACAAGAGACGGAUUUAUCUUUAUCUUAAUUUAUUUUAGCGUCAAGCCCUUGGUUUAGCCUGUUAGGAUUUCUUGUGCGCAGAAAAGAUGCUGGUUGUCGUGGCAUUGACAAGGUUACUGAAUAACUGUUUAGCAUAAGUGCAAUGGUAGCCAUUGAAGGCCUAUCAGAUGGAUUUUCCUGAACACACAAUAAACCAAUAUGAAUGCAUCUGUUGACUUCAUUUCUUGAAUAAGAACCUCUCAGAGUUGGAUCCAGAAACUCCAAAGGUGUUUUCUCUGUCCAAUUCUUCCAAGCCUGUGGUAGUAUAACAUUAGUAUUUAAAUUUGGAAUAUAUCAUUCCUCACCCACUGAAAAGUGUGUAGAUAAAGAAGAAGAAGAAGAAGGGAAAUUACUCACAUGGCUUAAGAGGUCAUCAGCAUGAUUUGAUUGAUAAAAAUCAGUGUUCUUCUUCCCACUCACAAUCUCCAAAACUAAGACACCAAAGCUGAACACAUCUGAUUUCACAGAGAAGUGUCCAUGCAUUGCAUAUUCUGGAGACAUGUAACCACUGAAAAACAGCAAUAUAAUCCACUUAUUUAAGAAAGAAGAACACACAUUCUUUCUGCAGAUGAACUUAACUGACUAUAUGUUAUAACAUAAGCUAUUCAUAUAUGCAAGAGUAGAUGGCAUAAAGGCAUCAAACUUACAAAGUCCCAACAAUCCUUCCUGUAUUUACUUGAGUAUGAUCUUCUUGGAUAAUUUUUGCCAUGCCAAAAUCUGAAAUCUUUGGGAUCAUAUUUUCAUCUAAUAGAACAUUGCUAGCUUUGAGAUCACGGUGUAUAAUUCUAAGUUGGGAAUCUUCAUGUAAAUAAAGAAUUCCUCGUGCAAUGCCAAGUAUAAUCUUGUAGCGUCUUGACCAAUCUAACUCUCUCUGCUUUACAUGAUCUACAAAGUUGGCCAAAAUGAAAUACCCAUAUUAGCAAUAGCAUGUUACUAAAAUUUUCGAUUAUACAAGCUAUUAACCCCCACCAAAGUGACUGUUCUUUAACAAGGGAAACGGUUACACCAUGCGAAUACACAAUGAAGUGAUUCUGCUUGUGAGGUGUCAAUAUCAGUCUGUUCAGGGAAAUCAAUCACUACAGUACACUAAUUGAGAUGUCAGGUAAUAGAAGAGUAGAAAGGCACAUACCAAAUAGAAAGUGAUCAAGGCUUUUGUUUGGUAUGUAUUCAUAGAGAAGGAUCUUCUCCCAACCCUCCAAGCAAAAUCCCAAUAGUCUCACUAAAUUUCUAUGUUGAAGCUUGGCCACAAGAGCAGCUUCAUUCCUGAACUCUACAGCACCCUGCAAGGAGGUUACUGACAACCUCUUCACAGCUAUCUCCUGUCCGUUAGGGAAGACACCCU
rnacentral:lncRNA from 1 species